UCGUUCUGUUGAGCUGUACUGAAUUAAUUCUGGCAAUAAUUUUCUGUAAUACCGUUUCUGGUCCACAGAGGGAGCUAUUGCUCCAGCAUCGGCUCCUCAUGACAUUGCGCCCACAUUGUACCUCAUACAGAGUUUAUUCUGCAUUAGUACAUCUUCCACGUUUCUUCAAUGGAGAUGAGUUUAUUCCCCACGGUAGGAGGACAACAUCUGGUCCCCCCCCCCGGCACACGUCGUGUUGCCAGCUCGGCUCCCAUGCUACACCUCUGUACAGCUGUGACUCACAAUGCUGUUCCUUAUUCCAAGGGGUCCAGGAGCAGAGGGACUAAUCCCACUUUACCCUCCAGAGAGCAUCACAGGGGGUCUGUCCUCUGUCCCUUGUGGGAUAUACAGCAGAGCCUGCUCCAAAACUGUCAAGUAUCCUUCAACUGAUGUGCCAUGUGACUGUGACCAUGGGAAUAUAGAUUCAAAUUAAUAAAUUGAUUGAUUUAACACACAUUAAAAGGCCCUGAAAACAUAUUCUCUUAAUCAGCUUUUUACUGUGAGGGAUGGGUCCCACAUGGAUUUUGAUUUGCUAAAGUUGGAACAGUUUUGAUAAUCUCACAUGAGAAAUUUGCAUUUGUUUUAUUUGUGCUCUUCUCACCAGUUUGAAGAGGGUGCAGCUAAUUUGGAAAAAAGGUGAGGUCAUGUACUUCUGUGGAAGAAUUUAGCAAGAUCAAAAUCAAAAUGUGAUGACAAAAUGUGUUUGUGUGGUUAAUUGUGUGUGUUAUCACAUCUCUGUGAAUCAUAUCCGAUCAACCCAUAACCACACAGUUGUGACAAAAGAGAUUGUAUCUGGGCGUUAAACCCUUAAGAAAUAAGUGGAAAGUUUUGUCCCUCAAAAUCUAACUUUGAUUGCUGUACAUUUAGUUAUGACUAAUAAUUUCACAAAGAAAGGCUUAAGAUUUGAAACCAUGUUUUCAGGGGCUUUAAAGGGCAUGAGCUAUAUAUGGUCUUGUGUAGAAACUGAUUUUCACUCCCACUGAAUUUCACUCUUACAGUUAUUAAUUUAUUGAGAGAUUCCCAUAAUAAUGAAUACUGAUAUUGAAUGAAUGAAGUGAAAGAAAAUGGCAAUUCAGUCUGACUAUAUCAGGCUGAAACUUCAUACCUAAUCUUAAUGUUGUAAUGACACUUGCAUGUCUGCACAGGAAAUACAGUAUGAAGCUACUGCCAGCAGCUGGUUAGCUUAG